UACAGAGGGUGCGAGCGUUAAUCGGAAUUACUGGGCGUAAAGCGUGCGUAGACGGUUAUUUAAGUCAGGUGUGAAAGCCCCGGGCUCAACCUGGGAAUUGCAUUUGAGACUGAAUAGCUAGGGUGCGGAAGAGGGAAGCGGAAUUUCCGGUGUAGCGGUGAAAUGCGUAGAUAUCGGAAGGAACAUCAGUGGCGAAAGCGACUUCCUGGACCAGUACCGACGUCAGGCACGAAAGCGUGGGGAGCAAACAGGA
rnacentral:rRNA from 1 species